rfam:Actinoplanes sp. N902-109, complete genome.
CUUCACCGACCCCAGCAACAACGGCACCGCCCGGCCCUGCCCAUAGGUGGCCAGCAGCGCUUGGGCUUC